rnacentral:rRNA from 1 species
GUAACGGCGAGUGAAGCGGCAACAGCUCAAAUUUGAAAUCUGGCCCCCAGGCCCGAGUUGUAAUUUGUAGAGGAUGCUUCUGGCGACGCGCCUUCCGAGUUCCCUGGAACGGGACGCCAAAGAGGGUGAGAGCCCCGUCCGGUCGUGCGCCUAGCCUCUGUGAAGCUCCUUCGACGAGUCGAGUAGUUUGGGAAUGCUGCUCUAAAUGGGAGGUAUACGUCUUCUAAAGCUAAAUACCGGCCAGAGACCGAUAGCGCACAAGUAGAGUGAUCGAAAGAUGAAAAGCACUUUGAAAAGAGGGUUAAAUAGUACGUGAAAUUGCUGAAAGGGAAGCGCUUAUGACCAGACUUGGGCUUGGUGAAUCAUCCGGCGUUCUCGCCGGUGCACUUUGCCGGUCCAGGCCAGCAUCAGUUCGCUUCGGGGGAUAAAGGCUUCGGGAACGUAGCUCCUCCGGGAGUGUUAUAGACCGUUGCGUAAUACCCUGGGGUGGACUGAGGUACGCGUUCUGCAAGGAUGCUGGCGUAAUGGUCAUCAGUGACCCGUCUUGAAACACGGACCAAGGAGUCGUCUUCGUAUGCGAGUGUUCGGGUGUCAAACCCCUACGCGUAAUGAAAGUGAACGUAGGAGAGAGCUUCGGCGCAUCUCCGACCGAUCCUGAUGUUCUCGGAUGGAUUUGAGUAAGAGCAUACGGGGCCGGACCCGAAAGAAGGUGAACUAUGCCUGUAUAGGGUGAAGCCAGAGGAAACUCUGGUGGAGGCUCGCAGCGGUUCUGACGUGCAAAUCGAUCGUCAAAUAUGGGCAUGGGGGCGAAAGACUAAUC